GUUGGUGUUGUGUUUGUUUCGUGUGUGCAGUUUCGUAUUACAUCUGAAAGAGCUACAGUUUUCAGUCCAUGUUUCAGUUUCCAGCGUUAACAAAGCAGCCAUGAGCACAUCGCCCCAGAAGCUUAGGGACAAAUAAGAAGAAACAUGGCCUCUAACAUGUCGUCUGCAAAGUAAAAGG